ensembl:processed_transcript
AAUCGGGACGUUCACUCGGGGUGUGCUCACUCCAUGCCACCCUCUUGGAGACACUUGGGUGAGCCUUUAGUUCAUGCAGAGCUCUGGGCCGCGAUUCGCCAGCUCCAGGGCCUUGAGAAUGUUGCUUCAUUCCCUGCCAGUUACCCCAUCAGUAAAAUACCAUGGUGAGUCAGUUCCCUCCGAGGGCGACUGGGAGGCAUGGUGGAGUAAUGUGGGGAAGGCAGUAAAAGAACCUAAUAAUCUGCACAAUAAACAAUGCGGUCCUUCUCAUUAUUUGAAUCGAACAACUGCAGAAACUGUGGAGCUGGACAGGGCGCUUGCAGUUUCCGGGAUCUCAGGUAACUGUGGAAAGUAAACCAGAAGCUCAUCACCAGCAGCAGCCAGCAGCGACUGCGGCGCUCCUAAGACCUUCACCAUAGGUCUCUCAACUCAAACUCCACUCUGCCCCUCCUGGUGACCACUCCUACCAGAGAGUAGGUGGGACAGCCAAUGGCUCAAGAUGAUGGUUCAGCCUCCCCAGCAUUGGGAUUUCAGGUUGUAAAAAGUGAAGAUUUCCCAGGUCUCCGAGAAGGACUAAGUGUAAGGUUACUAACCCUUGCUGUAAUGCUACCCCGGCCCUUCUUCGCCUUAUGGUCAGUGACUCAGAAGGAUCUCAAAUCCUCAAGGGAAUGGGAGGGCUUCGGGGCACCCGCGGGCUGGAACGCGCCUCCUUUUGGGCUUCGGUUUUCAAGCGUGAGAACGCCGGGUGACGUCAGGGCCCAGGUGUUCCCGGGAGCGCGCGCUCCUGGCGCAGCGCGAUCCCGGGAGCGGACUCUCGGGACAGGGAGGCGCAGUCCCCAGGGCUCGCUCCCGUGUGCGCUCCGGGACGCCCCGCGCCGCGCUGACUUACCCAGAAGUUCCCCUUGAACAGUGAGCCCGUCAUGCCGGCGCUGGGCUGGGAGCGGAGGACGGAGGGCGGCUGAGAUCGGCGGAGAGCGGGAGGACAGCGGGAGGACGGUCGGAUCGCGCCGAGAGCUCAGACUGUCAGGGACAAGGUCCAGCCGCAACUUCGGAGUUCCACUGUCGCCCCGGGAAGCCGCCCCGGGUCCUAAACCACGCCCGAUUGCGCCGCCCCGCGCCCCGCCCGCCUGCCCGCCCGCCCGCCUGCCGGCUCCGCGCACCUGCAGAGGGCCACCCGCCCUGGCCCUAGGGCGCGGCCGGUCCAGCAGCUCUGCGGGGGGCGGUGGCCAGUCCGAGCCCCAGCCUGCGGGACGUCUGGACGACCGACAGAACCGGUCCUUCUUCCUCCCGUUGCCCACUCGACUCUUCCCACCAAACCCUCUCGACCUAGAAAUUCAGACUGGAUCAGUAGAAACCCUAGGAGAUGCUUAAAACGUAGGAAGGCCUUCGCCUAUGGUGCUAAUGCUACAAGGAAUGGAGCGCACGCACCGCCCGGGAGGGGACUGCAAGCUUUAGUCUAAAAUGUCAAUUAAAAUGCGUUAUCCGUGUUUCCUUUUAACUUUGCAUAUCUUAAUCUAAACUCAGUUGAGGUGUCUUUACCACCUGUCUCACCCGGCAGUAAAAGCCAGGCUGCUUUCUGCUCCCUCUAGGUUCCAACUCUCCUCAGAUAGAAAAACAGAGGCUCACACCGGUAAUCCCAGUACUGAGGGAGCUGAGACUGAAGAAUGUGAGUUCAAGCCCAGCCUGGGCUACAGUCUGAGGUUUUUUCCUCAUAAACAGACAAACCAAAUAGGACUCCAGGGCACGUCAAACUCCUCCUUGCUUGGUAAUAGACGAAGUUCUCUGUUCAGUGUGCCCAGCGUCCAGCCUGAAACUCAAGAGAGCUAAAAGAUUGCCCAGGUUCACACUUAUGUAGGGGAUGGAGAGACCAAAGCUAGAAAAGUCUGUCCUUCUUAACAGGGCCAAUGUCUUUCUGGGUAAGAAGUGUUCGUAGGGAAGAGAGUGAAGGUUAAGUUGCCAAGGCUGACAUCGAGCCAGUUCCCCGUCAUGCAUUCGCCUCUGCAGCAGAUUCUAGUUAGAUCCUGGCACAGCACAUGACAAUCUUGGGAUGACUAGAAGCGCUCACAGGUUUCUGCUCAGUAACUCUACUCCCAAGUCCUACCAGUAGGGCCAUCUGUAACGACAGGGAUGCGCGAGAGCCCCCAGCCCUGUUACUCUCCAAGGACAAGCAUCCAUCAACCAGGUUCUUCACUGAGGUUAGGGGACUGGCUGAUUUAAAAGAGGACUUGGGCUCAAUUUCCAGUAGCCACAUGGCAGCUAACAGCAAUCCUUAACUCCAGAUUCAAGGACUCUGACACCCACUUAGUAUGUUUUCCUAACAAGGGCAUGCAGGUGGUGCACAGACAUAUAUGCCUGCGAAACACCCAUACAUGUAAAAUAAUAAA